ACGGGAGGCAGCAGUGAGGAAUAUUGGUCAAUGGACGGAAGUCUGAACCAGCCAAGUCGCGUGAAGGAAGACGGUUCUAUGGAUUGUAAACUUCUUUUGCUCGAGGGUAAAGUGAGCCACGUGUGGCUUAUUGCAAGUAUCGAGUGAAUAAGCAUCGGCUAACUCCGUGCCAGCAGCCGCGGUAAUACGGAGGAUGCGAGCGUUAUCCGGAUUUAUUGGGUUUAAAGGGUGCGUAGGCGGGAUGUUAAGUCAGCGGUGAGAGUUUGCGGCUCAACCGUAAAAUUGCCGUUGAAACUGGCGUUCUUGAGUGUAAACGAGGUAGGCGGAAUGUAACGUGUAGCGGUGAAAUGCUUAGAUAUGUUACAGAACCCCGAUUGCGAAGGCAGCUUACCAGCAUACAACUGACGCUGAGGCACGAAAGCGUGGGUAUCAAACAGGAUUAGAUACCCUGGUA
rnacentral:rRNA from 1 species